rnacentral:rRNA from 1 species
UACGUAGGGUGCGAGCGUUGUCCGGAAUUAUUGGGCGUAAAGAGCUCGUAGGCGGUGUGUCACGUCGGCCGUGAAAACCUGGGGCUUAACUCUGGGCGUGCGGUCGAUACGGGCAUCACUAGAGUUCGGCAGGGGAGACUGGAAUUCCUGGUGUAGCGGUGAAAUGCGCAGAUAUCAGGAGGAACACCGGUGGCGAAGGCGGGGUCUCUGGGCCGAUACUGACGCUGAGGAGCGAAAGCAUGGGUAGCGAACAGG